rnacentral:lncRNA from 1 species
CUAGGUCUUACGUACCGUGGAAGCCGCUCAGAUGAUAGCGCACCGCAUCCCCUAACUCUGAAGCUAAUUGUAGUUACCUCAAUGUCAGGUAGAUAAUUGUUUCUGUUCCAUUUUGGCACCACCUUACAAGCAGCUUGGUUCUAGAUUGCUGGAGAUAGCUCUUGUAACGGCGAAUUCCUUUUGUUGUUGAAUUCUAACUCUAAUUUGGGCCCAGCUGUAUAUUUGUCUACGGGGUCCAUGUUGGUAGAAACAGUCUUCUUUUGUAUAAGCCUGUGCAUUUAGCUCACAAGUUAGUGCAUGCAAAAGUCUUCCUUCGGCGUGGACGUCUUCAUCCCCAUAUCCAGAAGUUCUAACUCGCAAGCCCUUCUUGCAACAUGGUCAGCUGUCGAUGACUUGGUUCUCUUUGAGAAUCCAUCCAUUGGGAAGCCUUGCAAGUUUGAUGUGGCAGGCUUGGUUUCUUUUGUGCCGGUGAAGUAUGUUCUACUUUCCUUGUGAGUAGUUGGGAUGGCCUUUUGUAGCAAAGUUAAGAUGAUUAGUUAAUAAGAAGAAAGGUGUGCACACGAAAGGUGUACACGUAUUAUUGGGUUUGAAACAAACAGCUGUUUACGUAUUGGUGACCGGUGGUGUUGAUUUAUCUUUUCUAACACUAGAUGCCCGUUGCACCGAUGACACAAGAAGCCAAUUAGAACAAUGUAUUAUGUGGGUAUUCUAGGGCAAGUGAGAGAAAGCAAGAUAAGAUUACCGGUGUUUAUUGUAUUUUCCCAACUUUCUGUUUUAUAGAGCUCAUCUAAAAAAAGGGCCCUGAUUCGUGUCACAUGUGCAUGUGACACGAAGCAAUUCCACCCAUAUGUGUAGGCUGAAGUAGGUCGGCGGGCAAAAUGCUUUUCUAACCACCUGUUGUGACAUGUCAGCCUUUUCGUUCUUUUCACAUUUGAAUGUAAAUUGAGACAAAA